GGAGAGGUGCCGGAGGGGCCGAUCGGGGCUGCCUGCUAAGCAGUUGUACAAAUAACAGGUUGUACCGUGGGUUCGAAUCCCACCCUCUCCG
rnacentral:tRNA from 1 species